rnacentral:lncRNA from 1 species
CGCUGAGAGGUAAAUAGAAGCAGGAUCUCAAAAUGGCGGAGCCAGUGAGUCCCGUACGAGGUGCGACGGUGGCGGCGCCGCCACCGCCGCAGCAGGAGCCCUUCGCUUCGAACCUGUCAGCGGACACCAGAGCCUCUCAACGUAGCUUCCAGCCAGCCGCCAAGCGCAUGAAGGGAGAAGAGCGGAGCCUCAAAGGCCCUAAGCGCGUCAACGGCGAGGGCGGCGGCGGCGGCGGCAGCAGCAGCAAUAGGCAGCCGCCACAGCCGCCUCACAUACCAGUGGCGCCAACCCCGGUAGGUCACGGGAGCCCUGCCGUGUGGAGCCUCACCGCGUUUUCUUCGGGAGCCUGUGGUGGCGGUACCGCCACAACCAGCGGUGGGUCAUUCGUUUUCCCGCCUCAAUUGCCCCACAAGUUGCUACUGCCGCCGCCCUCUUCCCACUCUCACCAGUGCUUGGCCGCAGGCGUCGAUGGAGCAGGCGGCGGCAGUAGUAGCAAUAGCAGCAGCAGCAGCAGCGGUGGUGGUGGUAACAGCAAGAGCAAAAGGCCCAAGGAAAAACGCGACAAGGAGAAGAGGAAACUUGGGGCCCUGCCCGUGUCAGUUACAGUAAUAGGGGGAAUAGGAGCAGGCGGCGGCGGCGGCGGCCUCAGCGCGAGUGCUCGGGAGGAAAACGGCGACGUGAAGAUGUUACUUCAGCACCACCAUCAUCACUAUCACCACCGUCAGGAAGAUCAAAUUGUCAGAGACAAAAUGACUGAAAAGGAUAAUGAAAAACAGAAAGAGAAGAAGAAACAUAGGUCAGUGUCUGAAAUCAAGAAAGAAAAUGGAGAAAUGAAGCUAUUUCAGAAAGGUAAAUUUGAAGUAUUAUGUCCCUUAUAGCUUCUUUCAUGCGUACUUGUUUUGCUUGGUGCAAAUCUCAAUAUAAAGUUGUGGAGAGUAGAAACUUUCUCUUUUGAUUAAGUACUUAAGGAAGAGAAAACCAUUUGUUGACAGAAUGUUCCCAUCUGGAGAAAUGUAUGGUUUAUUUAGCUCAAUAUAUGUAAAGCAAGGUACAUGUGUUUAUGUUUAAAUGUAUAGCCUGCCCCUUGCUUUAUGGUCACAUGGCAGGAUACAUACAUAUUUAUAAAACAAAUUAAAAUUCGCAUCAAAAGUACAAUUCAUGUUACUUUACAACCUAGCUCCACUACAGAUACUAUCAUAUAUCCUUCAUCUAUUUCCAAAGGCCUGGAUAAAGAGGUGCAUCUUGACUUGCUGCUGCAAUGUGUGCAGCGAAUGCACUAGAAUCAUUUCAAAGGAGAGGGUAUUCCACAAACUUGAGGUCACCACAAAGAAAACAUUUUCUUGCUGCAACAUUCCAAGAAUUCCAAACGAGCUGAUAUUGAUAACAGCUUGCCCUGGUGAUCCUAAUACCUCAGCUAGUUUAUAGGGGAGGAUAUGCUCUUUCAGGUAUUUGAGCCUUAAGUUUUUCUGGGAAUUUUAUGUUAACAUCAGCAACUAGAAGUGGACUUGGAAGCAAUUUGGCCUGGAGUAAUAUGAGUCUUAUUAGUGCUGUCUGUCGGCACCUGGACUAUUGUAUUCCAUGGCAAUUACAGCUUCCAAACAGUCUUGAAGAGCUGCCUAACAUAGAGUACUGUAUUUUUCCGUCUGUAAGAGGUCCCCAUGUAUAGGAUGCCCCCCCCACUCUUCUUACUGAUC